GAAGUUCUGCUUUCUGUUCCCUGAUCAGGGACCAGAGAGGGGCAAAAUCUGCCUUUGAUCUUAACUCCCUAUUUUUUAUUUUUCCUCUUUCUUGAUCCCCUUGUCCACUUUUCAGAUUUAGCCUCACCUUGUAGGUGCUACCCUUCUGAGGUCUAGGUAAGAAAGAUUGAGAUUCCAUCAGCACUAGACAAACCCAGCCAUCCGGAGCAGUCAAGACAUGUUGGAGGAACAAAGGAAGGAGGUCAUGUUACCAGUUUCUAAGGCUUGGAGUCAUCUGGAAGAAGCUGGAAUCACAGUACAGGUGGGAUGGAAGUGCAAUGGAAGAAGUGGAACCACAGUGAAGCAUGUUCCAGAAGGCCAGGGUGGUCGGUUCUGCUGCACAAAUGAGGUCAGAGCAAUCAAGAGAGCCAAGGAAGUCCUACUUAUCUGGAUUAAAUAACUCAAUCUACAAACUGCUUAACUUUAAUACAAGGUGGAAAAUAGGAUUUCAAAAGAAAAGAAGAAGGAGAAGAACAAGGACACGAAACUGAGUUUUGGCAGAAGGCAAGUGAGCGAUUAAAAAUAAAUCUUUCAUGAUUUGCUCCCACAGGCAAAAAAUAUAA
rnacentral:lncRNA from 1 species